GACGAACGCUGGCGGCGUGCUUAACACAUGCAAGUCGAACGGAAAGGCCCUGCUUUUGUGGGGUGCUCGAGUGGCGAACGGGUGAGUAACACGUGAGUAACCUGCCCUUGACUUUGGGAUAACUUCAGGAAACUGGGGCUAAUACCGGAUAGGAGCUCCUGCUGCAUGGUGGGGGUUGGAAAGUUUCGGCGGUUGGGGAUGGACUCGCGGCUUAUCAGCUUGUUGGUGGGGUAGUGGCUUACCAAGGCUUUGACGGGUAGCCGGCCUGAGAGGUUGACCGGCCACAUUGGGACUGAGAUACGGCGCAGACUCCUACGGUAGGCGGCAGUGGGGAAUAUUGCACAAUGGGCGGGAGCCUGAUGCAGCAACGCCGCGUGCGGGAUGACGGCCUUCGGGUUGUAAACCGCUUUCGCCUGUGACGAAGCGUGAGUGACGGUAAUGGGUAAAGAAGCACCGGCUAACUACGUG
rnacentral:rRNA from 1 species